rnacentral:lncRNA from 1 species
CUUAACACCAUCAUCAGCAGCACAAAACUAUAACCUGAAAAACAACAGGGAAUAAAACCCUGAGUAUGGGAUUACUCAGCAAGACUUACCCGACUAAAGAAAAGACUCUCAAGGGUAUGCUGGUUUUAAAAGGAUUCAAGGAAAGGCUUACCAAGAAUCAAGGACUCUGUUUGCAGAAAAGCUUCCUAUGAGUGGAUCCUUACUUUCAACAUUUUAAUGCUAGAUUAAGUAUUAAUAGACCUUGUUUGCAUCUAGUCUAAUUUCAUCAUCACUUUAAUCAACACAACAUGAUUUUUGGUCAUUAUGAUUUCAUCCAUGACUUAGAUUGCAAGUCAGUGACCAAGUCUUCAUAUCCGAGAAGUAACGGCGAUCCUUAAUCGAUUAAUACCCAGCUGGGGAUCUCCAAUAACACGACAUAUGUAGCACUUAACCCUUGCAUAUGUCAACUCGCCACCGGGGUUCUUAAGACCAGAUCAGGUUCACGCCAACCGAGAGCACAGAUACACCACCGUCCAGUCUCUUGCCACGGAGGGUACACGCUACUCUCGCCAUCUCUCCACUCCCAUUGCGUGUUAUCUUAUUCUGGUAUUAGUCUGCCCGAGGCAAAUCUUACCCAUGAUGAGGCAUGUGACCAGUUAAAAGGUCCUCGAUCAUCAAGCCUACAUACGCAUCCAAUUCUUAAUCAACCUGGGUAGAACAUCACCUGUUCAUAGCCCAAGUACCGAUUUAAGUACUUCCAUCCUUAGGAUUGUUUGUGUUCCUUAGGAUGAAAAGAGCAUUAUAGGGAACUUUGCAGUAAGAUCCCACCACGCACCCAAUGAAUAUAUUCUUGCAGGUAGAAGUCAUCCUUCUUCAGGAUAACCCCUGAGCUAGGUCUUAAUGCAAAAGACAACCUCUAUCCACAAGAUCUAAGCAGGGAUAAGCAUUUUUGUAAAUCAUAUUUUGAUACUUCAUCAGAAGUAUCUAUAAAGGCAUGGAUAUCAAGGUAGGCAAUGCAUCAAAGGGUUUCCAAGCAACUCCUAUAAACCUAAUGCACAUUUCGCUAGACUUAAAGUGUGUAAAAGUAAUUUAAAAACACAAGGAAGGGGUUGCAUGCACCGGGGCUUGCAUGGAAUAAACACUAGGUUAGUGUUUGUUAGGUGUUAUCCACUUGGCGAUCAUCUUUGGUUCUGAUACUUGUUUCGUCUGUCUAUCUUCAGUUCCAUUCAUUAGCAUCACCAUGCGGAGUAGCCCGCGCUUGGGGUCGACUUGGCUUGUCUUCCACAUCACACGAUUAUUUAUCGUACCUCAUGAGAUGCACGAUGCACAUGUAUGAGUACGAGUAUAAAGAGUAUAAGAUAGAUGUCUACACUGAAGAGGAUGAAACACUUAUCACAAAACAUUAAGCAAAUACUAGCUAGCGAUGUACGACUAAUUAUAAUAAUUACGCUUUUCUAGCCUAUUCGGAGGUAAUGCAUACAUCGCAAUACAAUAAAAUAUACACACGCUCUAUUUUCUUUUAUGAUUUAUUAACAGAAUCAUAUUACUACAUAUUUUUUUUACCUAGUCAGCAUAGUAUGACCACUAUCAUUUGACACACGAAAAUCUAAAAAUGCUUACCACCAACACACUCCGAACACGAAAUUGACGAUCACUAGAUGAUGCUAGUUGCUCCCCACUACUCGGAGUGGCAAACAACAUUUAUCUGACACAUAAUUGAUUUCUAAGCAUCGGAUAUAAUCAUUAUCCGAGCAAAUCAUCGACUUCAUUAUGCAAUCAAGAUUUAUCAAAAUCACUACUAACAACACUAAACGACGGAAUGAUUUAAAUACUAAAUUUAUUCUUUGUGUUACCAAAUUACUUUUCAUUGAAAGUAGCAACUCCUCUUUUUGUUCUUAUCUCAAAUAAUUUUUCUUUUCAAUCCUAAAUAUGAACACGAUAGCUACUACCGCAAGCCUUUAGUGUAUCCAUAUUCUUAGCAUAAUUAAUUCUAGUCGAAUAAGUAGACUAGCUUACAGACGCAAGUUAACUAACAAAAUAACCAACCAACUCACCCCACCUCAAGCCCGAUUCUACAAGAAUCACGAUGAUCACCAAUUCAAGCAUAACGUUGAGCACCUAAUAAGCGUCGCCUACGCAUUUCAUUAUGUACACCACCUAGCUUUCUAUGCCAAUCGCAUACGGUGAUUCACAUAUACUAUCACAGGGAAAACACAGAUCACUACAUAUGGAUUGGAAUGAUGUCGAUCAUAAGGUAUUUUCCGAAUAUCCUACCUGCUGUCCGAAACACAGACCCGGCGAUGUAGAACCAAAGUUGUCGACGACGAGGUCUCUGACGAGCGUCUGAGCACGAGGGGAGGUGUCCCGAUAUGGUAAGCAACGACGGCGCGACGACGAGGAGCAAGGGGGCUGCUGUUGCGAUGACGGAGAAGGAAGCAUGUCCCUGGUUCGACCAGCAUCUCAUGGCGCAUCACAUGUAUUGAGCGACAGCGACGCGAGGGACCAGCGGAAAUAACCGCAGGUAAGGACGACGACUAGGAAUCAAUGACAAGCACUAGAGCUCGGCUACACGCACCGCGCGCACAGGGACUGAGCUAGGGGCUAGGCGAGCUUCGGGGAGCAUGGCACGGUGGAGUACGCGAAGGGAGCAGAGAAACAGACGCCGG